GACGAACGCUGGCGGCGUGCUUAACACAUGCAAGUCGAACGGAAAGGCCCCUUUGGGGGUGCUCGAGUGGCGAACAGGUGUGUAACACGUGAGUAACCUGCCCUUGUCUUCGGGGUAUCUUCAGGGAACUGUGGCUAAUACCGGAUAGGGAUCCUUGCUGCAUGGUGUGGGUUGGGAAGCUUCGGCGGUUUUGGAUGGACUCGCGGCUUAUCAGCUUGUUGGUGGGGUAGUGGCUUACCAAGGCUUUGACGGGUAGCCGGCCUGAGAGGGCGACCGGCCACAUUGGGACUGAGAUACGGCCCAGACUCCUACGGGAGGCAGCAGUGGGGAAUAUUGCACAAUGGGCGGAAGCCUGAUGCAGCAACGCCGCGUGCGGGAUGACGGCCUUCGGGUUGUAAACCGCUUUCAGCAGGGGCGAAGCUUGUGGUGACGGUACCUGCAGAAGAAGCACCGGCUAACUACGUG
rnacentral:rRNA from 1 species